ACAUGCAGAGUUCUUCAGGAACAGCAAGGAGGCUUUGCAUUCACACCCAGGUCCAAGAUAAUCAUAACCGAUGUCCAAUGAAAGUUUGUAAGCAUGUUUUUGUAUGUAGGGAGGAACAAUAACCAAGAAAAGCUUACCUCUACUGUUGGCCUUGUGCCUUUAUCAUCUGAGCUUUGGGAAGCUCCAUGAAGGCUCUCGAGAUGCUCACCAAGGGGCUUCAGCUUUCAAGACCAGUUCUUCAAGUCAGCUCAGUUUGCAAAGAACAGCUCCCAAGCUAUUUUACAACUGCUAUUUCACCAGUAUGAACAACAGCUGACCCCCAAUAUCUAGAAAAACAAACCAAACCCACCAAACACAUGCAUUAAACUCCAGACGAGCUAAGAAUGGUGACUGUUCUCAAGAGACCACGUGUUUACAAGAAUCUAGGGAUACAGAAGAGGCUGUAGCCAAUUCCAUGACGAGCCCUCAGGUGGAAAAGCAGUACUCCCCAAUACUCGCAUUCAGUGUUUUCUGCAUUCCAAAGAACUAAUGGUCUUUCACACGCAUCUUAAAUCUCCAUCUGGGAAAUGCAGGACUAAUUUCAAACUGUUCUUGCUUCUGCACUGAAGGAUAUUUUGUUCACCUCUCACCUUACACCUCAAAAGGUAUAUAAUUGCCUAUAAUUGCCAGAGAAAAGGUGUAUAUAAUGCGUGAGCAACUUGAUACUCAUACUGGCAUUCUAUAUAAACGAUUAGGGUUAUCAAAAUUGCUUACUUUACAAUGCAGAGUUUAUUUUCUGCUCUCAGCAGUUUAUUGGAAUUUUUAUUAUUGCAAUGCUGAGAACCUGCUUUCCCAGUACAAGCUCCAGAAGAAAUAAAGAAGAACCACUUAAAGAGGAGAUCACACGGACAAAGGAACUUGAAAUUACACUGAUCACAUGCAUAUUCUUCUCAUUUUGUCUUCUGGAAGAAUUCAAUUUACUCUUUUCAGUUCAGACAAAUGUCAGAGAAAAGAUGAAAGGCAUGAAGACAAACAGCAUCAGCACAGCUCAUUCACUGGUUAACACUCUCACCAGGUGCAUCAGUAUCAAGCAGGAUACUCACAAGGAGACAGGCAGAACAGAUUGCUCAGCAUUUGCAGCAGUGGAGAGAAUAAAAGCAUCUGAUGAAAUACUGCAUUGUAGGAACAGAAUAACACAGAAGAGCUAGAUCAGCAUUUCACUGCAGAAGUACUCACAUGUCCUGCUGCCCUAGAACCUGCAGUCAUGCUACAGGGAUUUUCUUGUAUAUAUUAUCACCAGAUUAAAUGGACAACAUGCUCUUUAUAGUGUCAGUGAGAAAAGAGUACAAAGUAAAGCAGCAACUCUUAUUCAUACACAGGAACACAGGAAAUGCAGAGCAGAGAGUGCACAUACAGAUACAUACCAGAGAAGGAGCUGAACAAGGCAGGAACAAGUGAAUCCAUCCAAGCAGUUUGGUAAGACUUGGACACUGAAUAGAAGAUGAACAAAGGACAACUGAGAAGUGCUUCCAAGGCUAAGAUCUAAGCCCAGAAACUUAGCAAUACAGCAAAGUACACAAAAAGUAUGCUGUGCAGGCAAACUCUGUGCUAAGUUAAUGCAUGAAUGCAUACAACAAUAAGAAGAUGACAAAAACAGAUUUCACAAGGGACAACAAAACAAAGCACCUACACAAGUUUCAGAAAUGCAUAUCCACCACUGUUAGCUAUCUAAGGCUUAUAAUUCAACACACUGCAACUAUAAAAAUGCUAGGACUGUUCUUAUCGCUGCUUUCACUCAAAGACAGUUAACACAAUGUCACAGCAUCAAAGAGUUCACUACAAAUAACAAAAAUAUCCGUAAAUUUAUAUUAAUCAAUGCAAUGCUUUAACAAAGACAAAACAGUACAAACAGUACAAAUUAUGGUGGAUUUUUAAGAUAAGUCUCCAUUAGAAUAUGGCAGAAUAUGUCAAAAAUAGAACUACUUAAAGCUGUCAAUGUUUGACUACAAUAAAAAUCAUGAAAAACUGUAACAGACUACCAGACACUAUAACCUUUAGCAGUGCAAAAAAACUGGAAGGUAUUCUCUUCCAAACUAUGAAACAGAAAGCAAACCUUUUAAUACGUGCAAAGGAACAUUUUUCCCUUCUCUUCCACUCACAAAUAGAAUAGAAUAGUAGCUGUACCGUUGUAAACUUCUUAAGACUCAAGAAUGUAUGAUAGGGCCCAUGUCCCAAAUCAUCAAAAAGUACCCGCAAGGUGUGCAGGCCUACUAAGAUCAAAAGUUCUUGCUGUGGCAAAAAAAAGAGAUAAAUCUCACUGGAAGGAAAUUGGAGGUCAAAUAUACAUAUUUAACUGUGAAAGAUGUUCUGGAAUUUUUAGUGCCCCAUCCCUGCAGGCAUUCAAGGCCAGGCUGGAUGUGGCUCUGGGCAGCCUGGUCUGGUGGUUGGCGA